UACGUAGGGUGCGAGCGUUAAUCGGAAUUACUGGGCGUAAAGCGUGCGCAGGCGGUUUUGUAAGGCAGAUGUGAAAUCCCCGGGCUCAACCUGGGAAUGGCAUUUGGGACUGCAAGGCUGGAGUACGGCAGAGGAGACUGGAAUUCCUGGUGUAGCAGUGAAAUGCGUAGAGAUCAGGAGGAAUACCGAUGGCGAAGGCAGGUCUCUGGGCUGAUACUGACGCUCAUGCACGAAAGCGUGGGGAGCAAACAGG
rnacentral:rRNA from 1 species